rnacentral:rRNA from 1 species
UACGGAGGGUGCGAGCGUUGUCCGGAAUUAUUGGGCGUAAAGAGCUCGUAGGCGGUUUGUCGCGUCUGCUGUGAAAUCCCGAGGCUCAACCUCGGGCUUGCAGUGGGUACGGGCAGACUAGAGUGCGGUAGGGGAGACUGGAAUUCCUGGUGUAGCGGUGGAAUGCGCAGAUAUCAGGAGGAACACCAGCGGCGGAAAGGCGGCGCUGUGGGCCGGAACUGACGCUGGAGGGCGCGAACAGCGUGGGGGAGCAAAACAGG